AGUUCCAGCGCGCCACGGCGCACGUCCUCAAGGUUUCGGCGAUCGGACCUCAGCGCCGCGCUCUCGUAAAAGAAAACCGGGAUUCCGAGUUCGCGUGUUAUGCGAUUGCCGGCGCUGUGCGCGAGUUCGACGCACUGCUCCAUCGUUACACCGCUCACCGGAACGAAAGGGAGAACGUCAGUGGCGCCGAGGCGAGGAUGUUGGCCCCGGUGGACUC
rnacentral:misc_RNA from 1 species